rnacentral:misc_RNA from 1 species
GAUGAAGAACGCAGCGAAAUGCGAUAAGUAAUGUGAAUUGCAGAAUUCAGUGAAUCAUCGAAUCUUUGAACGCACCUUGCGCCUUUUGGUAUUCCGAAAGGCACACCUGUUUGAGCGUCAUGAAUACCUCAAUCUCCAUCUUUUCUUCGGAUUGAUGGGUGACUUGGAUGUUGAGCCCUGCUGGUAUGCUAUAUCAGCUGGCUUUAAUCUUAUUAGCCGGCUCUGUACUGGAUCGGUUUGACUCGACGUGAUAAUAUUAUCGUUGAGGAUGCAUGUCUCAUGCAGCCGGAAAGUAUCAAAGCAGCUUCUAGCUUGCCUUUAGUGCACUUUUACAUUUUAGACCUCAGAUCAGGUGGGACUACCCGCUGAACUUAAGCAUAUCAAUAAGCGGAGGA